GCCCGUGAAGAUAUUGUCCAUGUUUUUUUGAAGUGUUGUGGAGCAAAGCCCCUGUCUUUAUAGGGAGAACCUACUUGGUGAAGCUACAUUUCACAUGAUAUUAUUGGAUUCUACUGCGGC